UCUAGAACUCGAGAUAUGGGCUGAACACUGAACAAUGUCUGGGCUGCAGGACAAAUUUCGACUUCUCCUUUGUUGCUACAAUUUGAACUUGAAAAUGACCUUUUAAAAUCUUGCACUCCUAUAAAAGUUUUAGGCCUAUGUCUUAGCUUUCUAGC
rfam:Populus trichocarpa scaffold_16_contig_76, whole genome shotgun sequence.